UACGUAGGGUGCAAGCGUUGUCCGGAAUUAUUGGGCGUAAAGAGCUCGUAGGCGGUCUGUCGCGUCGGCUGUGAAAUCCCGAGGCUCAACCUCGGGUCUGCAGUCGAUACGGGCAAACUGGAGUACUGCAGGGGAGACUGGAAUUCCUGGUGUAGCGGUGAAAUGCGCAGAUAUCAGGAGGAACACCGGUGGCGAAGGCGGGUCUCUGGGCAGUAACUGACGCUGAGGAGCGAAAGCGUGGGGAGCGAACAGG
rnacentral:rRNA from 1 species